CCUACGGGAGGCAGCAGUAGGGAAUCUUUCACAAUGGGCGAAAGCCUGAUGGAGCAACGCCGCGUGCAGGAUGAAGGCCUUCGGGUUGUAAACUGCUUUUAUAAGCGAGAAAUAUGAUGGUAACUUAUGAAUAAGGAUCGGUUAACUACGUGCCAGCAGCCGCGGUCAUACGUAGGAUCCGAGCAUUAUCCGGAGUGACUGGGUGUAAAGAGUUGCGUAGGUGGCAUAAUAAGUAGCUAGUGAAAUCUGGUGGCUCAACCAUUCAGACUAUUAGCUAAACUGUUAAGCUCGAGACCGUUAGGGGUAACUGGAAUGUCUAGUGUAGGAGUGAAAUCCGUAGAUAUUAGAAGGAACCCCAAUAGCGUAGGCAGGUUGCUGGGACGGUUCUGACACUAAGGCACGAAAGCGUAGGGAGCAAACGGGAUUAGAUACCCUUGUAGUC
rnacentral:rRNA from 1 species